rnacentral:rRNA from 1 species
ACGUAGGAGGCGAGCGUUAUCCGGAUUUACUGGGCGUAAAGCGUGUGCAGGCGGUUCGGUAAGUUGGAUGUGAAAGCUCCUGGCUCAACUAGGAGAGGUCGUUCAAUACUGCUGGACUUGAGGAUGGUAGAGGGAGGUGGAAUUCCGGGUGUAGUGGUGAAAUGCGUAGAUAUCCGGAGGAACACCAGUGGCGAAAGCGGCCUCCUGGACCAUUUCUGACGCUCAGACACGAAAGCUAGGGGAGCAAACGGGAUUAGAGACCCCGGUAGUCCUAGCUGUAAACUAUGUAGACUUGGCGUCGGUGGGUUUAAAUCCGUCGGUGCCGAAGCUAACGCGAUAAGUCUACCGCCUGGGGACUACGGCCGCAAGGUUA